CACGCCGGAACUUGCUGAAAUUCCCGACUCAUCACGUCUACCUACGUCAUCCGAUACGAACUACACGUCCGUUUUCACUCCGGAUCGUUUCCUUACAGGUGAUUCUCCGUUGUCAAUAUCUGAACCCGAUUUGUCAAACAUUUCUACAAGCCAGAUAGCGAGUUGGCGCAGCAUAACUCAAUAGGUAUUCGCAAGUUAUUCGGCAAAAGUGGAGCCAUGG